rnacentral:lncRNA from 13 species
AUGCAACUUUUCAGAAAUGACUACUUUUCAGACCAAACUUAUUUUAUAAAGUUCAUGUCAUUUCAGAUCGAGUUCAAUCCAAAGUGCUACAACCUUAUCCAUUCGUUGAUAAUCGCAUCGUUCUAUUACGUCUGGACAGCUUCCACCUCAGCCAAUCCCACCAACCAGGGCCAGACGUCACCAUCACUAGCCAACCACCCCAUGCGGUGUGAGCUCCUAAUCGCAGGGGUGAGACAUCGCUCGGGCAGAGGCGGGGGGGUCCGCGACAAUCUGAUUCAGGAAGCUCCACAGGAGGUACCAGCGCCACAGAGGAAGAGGGAUUACCAAGAAGCCACCGGGCUCUGGCGUAUCCAGACUUGGGGCCGACCCGGAACAUUAUAGGGUGAUGGAUCGUAUAGCCACACACACACUGCCUCACUACACAACCCCAAACAUAAGCUGGGUGAUUUUGAUUGGACAAGGAAGGCAUGUUUACUGUACUGUAUAUAAGGGGGAGGGAUAUACUGUAACUUGGUGAAACAGGGGUCAUACCCCUUAGCUAGGAAGAGUCAUCUGAAAUGGAGACCCAGUAAAUCUCACGACUGUUGUCAGGGCUAGACUGUUACCAUGGCACUACGGGACACUGACCAGCCAUAGGUUACUUGGUUUCUAUGGAUAUGAGCUCUUCGGUCAUAACACAAUUGCAUGAAUAGGUCUUUUCAUUUUCCUAUUGGACAUCACGCUCAGUGAUACUGGCAUCAUCUUCUGUUUUGUUUUUGUUGACAUUUAGAACAUGAUAGUAUGUGCAGUCUUUUAAAAUGUGGUAAUUUACAGCAUCUUGCCAGCAUCAAUCAGUUGCCAUCAAAUGCAAUCUAAAAUGUAUCUCUUCUAAUUAUGCCAUUCUAUCUCUACAUGUAUUACUGCUUUAUAUUUAUAUUCCUCACCAUUUCUGUCUAUUACAAGACCAGCACUGAUUUCAAUGAUUCAGAUCCGUAGAGAUCUGAGGCUGGCAGGUUUCUGUGUGUCUGGCUUUUUAAGAGCAGAUCCAAGGUCAGAGACAAGCUAAUCCUGCUCCUCAUUCCCCUGCUGAAGUAAUGAAGUGUAACACUGACCCCGGUCUCACCCCCAACGCUCUGCUCCAGCUGGCCAGGUGAAAAACUGAUCUGGAGACAGUUGUACUUUAUUCUUGGUUUGGAAAUACAGUAAAACCAGGUACAGUGGUUGUUUACUGAGGAAACCACACAGAGAAACAUAAGGGUAUCAUUCUCGUUUUACAAAUCCACCACAAUAUCCAACGUGACAUUGAACCAGUGGGGUGUAUUCAUGGAUGCCAAGGGAAGCCAGUCUUUCCAAUCAGCAUUGAGCUAAACUGAGUGAGCUCAACUGUGAAUGGUCUUGGCACACCAAAAAAAAAAAAAAAAAGUGUCAUGGGAAGCCCGUUUGGAUUUGUCGUCUCUCCUGUCAAAUCGCAUUGUGAGCAUAUGUCAUUGACAGGAUGUUUUUCUACUUGCACCAACACGCACAGACACAAAUCAGAACCACGAACAGCCGCAUUUUAUUUAGCUUACGUAGAUGGGACUAAAUAGUUUUUGGUAUCUUUUAGUUGUCAUUGUAUUAGACUAAGCAGAGGAUUAGAUGAUGUUGAAAUGUUGAAGUUGAAGCAAACAACACAAUUAUCACAACACACAGGUUGUAAUGUGGCUUUUACCCACGUACCACUACUGCGUUGAACAGACAUGUUUAGAAACAGAAACCACCAUCUUUAAUAGAAUCCUUCCUAUUUGUGUUGAGACCUGAUCACUGCCUGGUUAGUAGUGUUUUAAAUGAUUCCAUGUACUUGAGCAUCUAACGAUUUCUACAAUGCAUUUCAAUUAGCCUAAUCCAAUUGCGGUCUUCAAUCAAUUACGGGACCGCCCCCUACUCGUUUGUCUUCCAAUCAAGACAUUGGGAAUCCUACCAUCAAUUCUCAUUUAAGAGGAGAGCGGGUCAAACAAAUUAACUUGGAUCGCAUCCAUCCAGAUGUCUGGUCUAGUCGUUGUACGUGGCUACUACUACACGAUAAAACACAUUUUUGGGCAAGUUGGACAUCUUGCCUUCCCAUCUUGGAAUAAACGACUGAUACAUCAUAUAAGACUGCUGUGGAGUGUGGAGAUAUCAUCAAUUAGUAUUUCAUGUCCACCAUCCGGAUCAUUAUACAGUAGCUUACAAGGCAAGUUAGCAUUGUUCUGGAGGCAGUUAUGCAAAGUGGUCACUAGCUGGCACAGCCACAAUAUAAACCUAACCUUAACCACACCGCUAACCCUAAUCUUAAAUUAAGACAAAAAAAUAAUUUAUGUAUUUUUUUUUUACAAUGAACCCAAUUUUGGACAUCUAAGUUCUGCCUCCAGGCAAGACUCAGGACAAUAACACUGGGUGAAUCAACGUUGUUUCCACAUCAUUUCAAUGAAACGAUGUUGAACACACGUGAAAUAGACGUUGAAUUGACGUCUGUGCCCAGUUGGAAACGUCAACCUGAAUACAAGCUUACUGUACGGAAUACAUAUUAGAAACUUCCUCAUUCCUCCUCAGACCUGCUCUAGUCAAGUAUCAACCCUGCACAAGUCAAGCGUUAACCCUCCCCUAGUCAAGUGUCAUCCCUCCUCCUCAACCCUCCCCUAGUCAGGUGUCAUCCCUCCUCCUCAACCCUCUCCUAGUCAGGUGUCAUCCCUCCUCCUCAACCCUCCCCUAGUCAGGUGUCAUCCCUCCUCCUCAACCCUCCCCUAG